rnacentral:lncRNA from 1 species
CAGUGUCAGGACCUCACCACGGAAAGCAACCUGCUGAGUGCAUCCGGGCCUGCAAGCCCGACCUCUCGGCCGAGACUCCCAUGUUCCCGGGAAAUGGCGACGAGCAGCCUCUGACCGAGAACCCCCGGAAGUACGUCAUGGGCCACUUCCGCUGGGACCGAUUCGGCCGCCGCAACAGCAGCAGCAGCGGCAGCAGCGGCGCAGGGCAGAAGCGCGAGGACGUCUCAGCGGGCGAAGACUGCGGCCCGCUGCC